rnacentral:rRNA from 1 species
AUGAUGCACGUAUUAUCGCAUGAAGCUUUCCUGACCCUGGCUGUCACACUAUGGGCAAUAUGGACUGCGAGAAGAAAGGCGAUACACGAAGGAAUUUUUCAGAGCCCGCAGGCCACUCACGCAUUCAUCACCCGUUUCAUGGCGGAGCUUGAGACUAUGGAUACUAAGCCGAAUAUCCCUUCAGGGGGACGGCUCAGACAAGCUGCUGUUGCGAACAGACGGCCCAGGGCACCUCCGCCGGGGUUUGCAAAGAUUCACGUGGACGCAGGAAUCCACAGAUUUAACAGAAGGGGCUCCGCCGCUGCGGUCUGCCGCGAUGAUCAGGGUAACUACCUGGGCAGUUCAGCCCUGGUGAUAGACAACAUUCAUGAUGCAGCCACCCUCGAGGCGAUAGCUUGUCGCGAAGCUUUUGCGUUGGCGGACGACCUUGCACUUCAAAACUUUAUCAUCGCUUCAGAUGGAAAGCAAGUGGUAGAGGAUAUAAACAGGAGCAGCAGAGGCACAUAUGGUUCCAUUAUUACUGAAAUCAAAGCUAGGGCUGAAAGUUUCAAUUGUAGAAUCACUCAUGAAGGUCGUUUAUCCAAUACGGAUGCUCAUAGUUUAGCAAAAUUCUCUGUUAGAUUAGCUCGGGGGCGCCAUGUGUGGCUUCUACAACCCCAUGACGCUUUAUGUAUCCCACAUAAUGUGGUUUUUGAUGAUGAAUAA